GAUGAACGCUGGCGGCGUGCCUAAUACAUGCAAGUCGAGCGAACAGACGAGGAGCUUGCUCCUCUGACGUUAGCGGCGGACGGGUGAGUAACACGUGGAUAACCUACCUAUAAGACUGGGAUAAUUUCGGGAAACCGGAGCUAAUACCGGAUAAUAUAUUGAACCGCAUGGUUCAAUAGUGAAAGACGGUUUUGCUGUCACUUAUAGAUGGAUUCGCGCCGCAUUAGCUAGUUGGUAAGGUAACGGCUUACCAAGGCGACGAUGCGUAGCCGACCUGAGAGGGUGAUCGGCCACACUGGAACUGAGACACGGUCCAGACUCCUACGGGAGGCAGCAGUAGGGAAUCUUCCGCAAUGGGCGAAAGCCUGACGGAGCAACGCCGCGUGAGUGAUGAAGGUCUUCGGAUCGUAAAACUCUGUUAUUAGGGAAGAACAAAUGUGUAAGUAACUAUGCACGUCUUGACGGUACCUAAUCAGAAAGCCACGGCUAACUACGUG
rnacentral:rRNA from 1 species